AAAAGAGAAGAGAAAAAGAGAAAGAGCUCAAAGAAAAGAAUAUAUCUGAGUUGAAGAAAAGAGAAAAGAAGAGAAAAAAAGAAAGAGAUACUCUCGAGCUUAAGCGUCAAAUUUCUUACUAUUGUAAGAGAGAAGAGAGAAACGCCUACGAGUGUUUAGACUGCAUUGUAUUGUAAUCAAAUCCUCUCGUAGAGAGAUAUAAUCUAAACUACUUGUAAGCAAUCGUUGAUUAAAAUUCUAAAGAGAAUUAAAACACUUGCAACUGAACUCUGUUUGAGUUGAGGAAUUUAGGUGCAAUAAUCUAGUACCAAGACUGCUCUCUUUCUUUCAUUGUGAGGAAAUGUUGGUUGGUGGUGGAAGGAAAGUUGCAACUGUGCAGAGUUCGUCGUCUCCGUGGUCGUGUUUGAAGGCGUGGUGGUUGAAGGAGAAACGUGCGCAGUGUAGGUACAUAAUCCACUAUUAAAAAUAGCCUAAACCUUUAAACGGAUUUGAUCAUCCUUCAAUGGAUGUCAACAUCCGUUUAAGGUGAAAACCAAAACUAACCUUUCGUAGACCCGACAUAGAAGCGAAGCACCAAUCACCGCACGUCGCACCGCCGCACACCAACCGCACGCCGCACACACCGCCACACCAACGAAAAAGAAGAACUGAGAGGAAUUGUUGGGACUUGGGGUGGGGAAUCAGAUCUUGGAAAGUUACUUUGUUAAAAAACAGAUCUGGAAGAAAGGACGAGAAUGAGAGAGAAGAAGUGCUGCUAGUGGUUACUAAAAUUGAAACUAGGAUUUCUGAGUUAAAUUAGUUAAAUAGGAGUAAAAGUAAAAACGAUAAUAAAAAGUAAAAAGGUUAUUUUUUGUAAUAAAAUAAGAUGUGGAAAAAAUUAGGAAGGUGGAGGGAUCAACUCCCUACAAAAUCAAACUAUUAAUAAAAUUUUAAAAAAAUGGUUGUAAUGGGUUAAUGAAUAUUUUGCUUUUAAAAAAUCUAUAAAAAAAUUAUUUUAG
rnacentral:lncRNA from 1 species